rnacentral:rRNA from 1 species
AUGCACGCUGGCGGCGUGCCUAAUACAUGCAAGUCGAGCGAACAGACGAGGAGCUUGCUCCUCUGACGUUAGCGGCGGACGGGUGAGUAACACGUGGAUAACCUACCUAUAAGACUGGGAUAACUUCGGGAAACCGGAGCUAAUACCGGAUAAUAUAUUGAACCGCAUGGUUCAAUAGUGAAAGACGGUUUUGCUGUCACUUAUAGAUGGAUCCGCGCCGCAUUAGCUAGUUGGUAAGGUAACGGCUUACCAAGGCAACGAUGCGUAGCCGACCUGAGAGGGCGAUCGGCCACACUGGAACUGAGACACGGUCCAGACUCCUACGGGAGGCAGCAGUAGGGAAUCUUCCGCAAUGGGCGAAAGCCUGACGGAGCAACGCCGCGUGAGUGAUGAAGGUCUUCGGAUCGUAAAACUCUGUUAUUAGGGAAGAACAAAUGUGUAAGUAACUAUGCACGUCUUGACGGUACCUAAUCAGAAAGCCACGGCUAACUACGUG